GUGCCAGCCGCCGCGGUAAGACGUAGGGACCGAGCGUUGUCCGGAUUUAUUGGGCGUAAAGCGCGCGCAGGCGGCCGUGCAAGUCGGAUGUGAAAAUCCGGAGCUCAACUCCGGACCUGCAUUCGAAACUGCACGGCUAGAGGCAGGUAGGGGAGAGGGGAAUUCCCGGUGUAGCGGUGAAAUGCGCAGAUAUCGGGAGGAACACCGGUGGCGAAGGCGCCUCUCUGGGCCUGUCCUGACGCUCAGGCGCGAAAGCUAGGGGAGCGAACAGGAUUAGAUACCCUGGUAGUCC
rnacentral:rRNA from 1 species